GUAGGUGGCAAGCGUUGUCCGGAAUUAUUGGGCGUAAAGCGCGCGCAGGUGGUUCGUUUAAGUCUGAUGUGAAAGACCCCCCCGGGCUCAACCCGGGGGAGGGUCAUUGGAAACUGGGGAACUUGAGUGCAGGAGAGGAAAGUGGAAUUCCACGUGUAGCGGUGAAAUGCGUAGAUAUGUGGAGGAACACCAGUGGCGAAGGCGACUUUCUGGCCUGUAACUGACACUGAGGCGCGAAAGCGUGGGGAGCAAACAGGAUUAGAUACCCUGGUAGUCCACGCCGUAAACGAUGAGUGCUAAGUGUUCGGGGGGGUUUCCGCCCCUCAGUGCUGCAGCUAACGCAUUAAGCACUCCGCCUGGGGAGUACGGUCGCAAAGACUGA
rnacentral:rRNA from 1 species